GGAAAAGAACCAGGUCUCAUAACAUUUGGGACCAUGGUUGACGUCUGCAGACCAAUUUCUUGGCUAAAGAUUAGGUAUGAAGCCCUCUUUGUGAACCGUGGAAAAUAACAAGAUAUCGUUUGACUAGCCUCAAAGCCACUCGACUAGGAUCCUGCCAUGUUGGGGUUAAGUCCAUAAAGUUUGUAUUGGUGCCAUGUGUGUAGAAUAUCUAUGCUCAAACUCCUCACAAACCAGUACAUUGAGUAGCUCCAACACAUCAGACAGAAUACAGAAAAGGGAGCUUUAUUACUUAAUGAGGUCAAGCUACAAAUACGGAGAGUAAAACACAUGGGUAGAGUUAAUUGGUGUUUUGAGGUUUUGCCUUGGACAGCUAACAUCCCAAACUACUGUGUUGCAUUCUUUAUGGUUGGCAAGGGAGGGUACCGACCAGGCGACCACUUAUUUUUGGGUUGCUUGUUGGCACGGUCUCUAUGGAGUUGUUUGAGAUUGAAGUAUUGGUUUGAGGGAAAUAGCAGAAUUUUUAAAGAGAUUGUGAAAGAUCAUAUCGGAGGUUUUGAAAGAAAAUUUAAUGAAUCCAAAUGGUUGUGGGAUUAAAACAGAUUGCUAUAAAAUCGAUUUUACGGAAAGAUUUCAAGAGCCUCAUCAAUAUUGACAAGUUAGAGUAGCGCAUGACCUCCAUCUUCAGCAACAAUUUCUACCUCAUAAGAUCUACAUAGAGGUUCUCUCUGGUACACUUUUGUUACUCCUCGUCUCUUUCGAUAUGACUUGACCCUCUCCUUAGGACUCAAACAUGUGAAUUCUCCAAGGAGGAGCAACAAUCCUAACAUGUAUGUUUUAAUAUCUCGGCACAAUCUCGAUACAUGGUUUGUUUUUAUCAAUUCAAAUUCAUAUUAUUCGUUUAGAUUGACUCCUAUAUACUAAACUUGAAUCUGAUAAGGGCUAGAUAACAUUUGGAUUUUGUAAAGACAUGAAAGGAGUUAGACGUAAGACUUUGCUUUUAA